CUCCCAUUUAAGAUACCCCAUGUCACAAAAUCAUCUAGUAUCAUGCAGAAAAAAUGUCUAAAGAACCAAAACAGAUUCAAUGCAGUGACGGCAGAAAGUGUAUGGGCAUGAAGAUUCAAAGAAAAAGAUGCGGCCGUUGAAAGAUUUAUAUGCUCCUUUGCUCCAGGUACCUGAACCACUAAGGCCAGUUUCACCAAAUUCAUUUAGUCCAGAAGCACCAACACCAAGUUCAUCUGCACUCUUACCUCCUCCACCACUUCCAGAAUCAGAAGACCAAGUGUUUCCUCCUAAUGGAAAUCAAAAUGAGAAAUCUCUUGAGACCUCACUCAGAGUGCACAUCCUUACCACAGUACAAGGCUAAUGAGCUUGGAUCGAUGGUGUUCUCAGCCCAGUGGACUGAAAACAAUAGAUUGAAGAUUUGUGGCAACCCUGUGACUACCAACUCUAUUGAAACCAUUUCUCCAAUAGCAUGAGCUCACUUCAGGUCUUUGUAUCACAUUUUCAUAAUUCUCACAAUAUUUCAAAUUUAUUAUUAUUAUUA
rnacentral:lncRNA from 1 species